GGCGAACGGGCGAGUAACGCGUAUUUAACCUGCCCUUAAGUAGUUUAUAACCAUGGAGACAUGGCUAAUCAACUAUACGCCCUCAUGAAUGUAAAUAGUGAGGGGAAAGAUUUAUCGCUUAAGGAGGGGGAUGCGUCCUAUCAGUUAGUUGGUGAGGUAAUGGCUCACCAAGACUAUGACGGGUAGCCGGUCUGAGAGGAUGUCCGGCCGCAAUGGAACUGAGACACGGUCCAU
rnacentral:rRNA from 1 species